CAGCAGCCACGGUAAUACGUAGGAGGCAAGCGUUGUCCGGAAUUAUUGGGCGUAAAGGGCUCGCAGGCGGUUUCUUAAGUCUGAUGUGAAAGCCCCCGGCUCAACCGGGGAGGGUCAUUGGAAACUGGGAAACUUGAGUGCAGAAGAGAAGAGUGGAAUUCCACGUGUAGCGGUGAAAUGCGUAGAGAUGUGGAGGAACACCAGUGGCGAAGGCGACUCUCUGGUCUGUAACUGACGCUGAGGAGCGAAAGCGUGGGGAGCGAACAGGAUUAGAUACCCGCGUAGUCCCUGUCUCUUAUAA
rnacentral:rRNA from 1 species